UUGAGGAUUAGAUAUGAUAUUCAUUGUGUUUAUCCAUGUUGUAAUUUCUCUUUUACAGGUUCAUCAAAAAAAAAGGGAAGAUCUGAUUUUUACCAGUAAUAAGACUACAGCAUACUAAAUGACACAAGAUGUUCUUUCUCUAUUACCUCUUACAUUUGACAUAAAAGUAGGAAAAGGUUUAACAGUCUAUGCCUACAACAUAGAUCUCCAGGACUAAAAGUACACAAAAUGGCAAUCAGUAUAUCACAAGUGUAAUAACACAUGCAUCUAAUCUGCUUCAGUGGCGAGAACUGGGUGAAUCCUCUCAAACAUUAAUCAGGAACUAGGCAUACCUAAUGAGCGUCAAGCUGAUACAGUAGAUGUACAGAAGAGUUUAUACACAAGGAAGUGAAAAGUGAUGUAAAAGGCAACUAAUACUUCCAUCUACCAUAGUUAAACAAGAAUCUGCAAAUGGUGAUAAUUGCAAUAAUCUUGAUAUAUUAAUGUUUGGCUUUAUAAUUAUAUGCAAUUGUUUCAUAAAUAAAUUAUUUCUCAAAAUU